GUAUUGACAGUAUUCUCAUACUGCAGUAAGUACUAAAUUACUGCAAGAUUCUCACUCAUGAGUAAAUGUCAACAAGAAAUAAAAAUACCACAGCCAAUUGAUGAUGAAAGGAACCCUAACAUUAGCUUUUGAGACAGCUGAGUUAGUUGCUCAACUACUGUACAAUAUUAUUUAAGAAUAAUUGCAUUUAGUAUGUUGUCCAAUCAUAUAAAACGAUUUGUUGUAAGAUUUAUUUGUCCAAUUUAUGCUUUUUAUAAAACAACUCUUAAAAUGUAUAAACACCAUACAGUAGGACAGUAGAAUACCACCCCACCGCCCCCCCCCCCUUCCACAUUCAGGAUAAAAAAGUUCCUCCUUAAUAGACUGUCUGGAUACACCUAUUUAAGGGGGCAUGGUAGAAGUGUCCUCGUCGCUGCCCUCUGUAACGCUAAAUCAACAGUGACCACACACAAUAUCAAGUCAACAUCAACUUGUAUCACCGUUUCCAUCAUGCCAUCUGAUGGACCUGUCAGAGUACAAUGAUUGUACUAGAAACUGUGUCCUGCUCUGGCUGAAACAAGUAUUGUAUCUAGCAAGUGUGUGGACAUAAGAACCUGAAUUGUGAAAUUGUCCCUUAAUAUAACGUAUACAUAUAACGAUAACAUAUAUAUUUUCAUAAUUUUAGUUUAGUUUAGCUAAGAACCAUUUGAAAUCGAAUCAAAAUAAUUUGUAACUAAUGUUUAUAAAUGUAAUUAAAGAGUAGAACUAUAUAUAUUGCUUCAUGAUUCUAGUUUAUAAUCACAUUUUUUUUUUACAAUAUUGUGCUUUCUAUUGGACAAGAAUUUUGUAUUUUUAUGUUCAUAAUUGAAAUGGUGGAAAUAAAUGAUAUAUAUGAUACAUUAGGAGUGAAAGUCAGUCCAUUGUUUAAGAGCUAAAAUUGACAAGAUUGGUUAACACAAAGUGCAGUGGCGGAUUCAAGGGGGUGCCCAGCUAGGUCGGUGCCCAGCUAGGUCGGCCCCCCCUAAAUUUUUAAAAAUGGAGGUAUAGAGGAAAUAUAUUUUUAAAUUUUAAGUCUGAGAAUGCAAUCUCCGGCCAUUUAGAGGUGCCAUAAUCACCAGUUUUCUUACCUCAGCCCCAACCAUGGUUGGGGCUGAGGUGGUAUAGAUCCUCCAUCUGUGAAAGUACCUCCCUGGGCCCCCUCUAUGUUGAAUUCCUGGAUCCGCCAUUGUAGUGGAGUAACAAUGUGGACAGAAUUCCAUCAAUCCGUAUUGGAUAUAAAAAGGACAACUCAAGUGAUUGAAGACUUCGUAGUAGACCGAUCGAUAGAUCGGUCUACUAUGAAGUAGAUCGAUAUCCAUUUCUAAGAUCAACAAUUGAAGUUUAUAGCUAAAAAGUUGUCAAAAUAAAAAUUUGAUUAUUGUAUUUGUUGUAAGAUAAAAUAGCUUUCACUUGGCAUUCUUAGGAAGUUUGACUAUCCAUAAUAGGGUUGGUUGUAGUGUUAAAAUACAUAUUCCUCUCUUUUCGCAGAAGUCGCCCCUCAAUAUGGGUGUCUUAAAGGAAAGGUGGUCGGUUACUGUAUGAUAAAAUGACACUAAAAUAAAAUUAAAAAGCUAAUAUGUAAAGUGCAUGCGGGAGUUGGAUAUAGACACAACUUUAUAUUCUAAACAUUUGAGGAGCAUGUGCAUAAUAUGUAAUUGGAACAGCAUGUACAACUAUGAGCUGAAUAAUUAUUAAAAUUGAAAAUGAUUUAAUUUUCACUGGUUUUAUU